GUUGCUUGGUUGUCAUAUCUGCCUGUUGCUGUAAGCAGGACCCAAAUGAACAAUGGGCCUGUUCACACUGGAGCCUUUUCCAGAAUGAUACCAUCUGCUUGUGUGAUUCAUCCAUCUGGAGGGAUAUGAAGCACAAAAGCCAUAGCUGUUUCUCAGCCGCAGCCUGGCUACAGGAAGAAACCAAACAAGUCUGGAAGCUACCCUCAAGGCAGAAGAACUAGGAGAGUUGAGAUCUCAUGGGGAAAACACAGGGGAUAAAGUCAUGGAAGAAGUUAUAAAAGCUGUUUCUCAUAUUAUUUCUCUUCACUAAAAUAAAACAGUAAAGAAGACACUGGAUAAUGAGAAUUACUAAAUGCAGUUCACUAUCUUAAAUUAAUAAUGACAGUUAUUGUGCAAUUAUUUUUCCAUUUGACAUCUAAGUUUUACUAAAAAACAUUUCAAACUUUUUUCUUCCUCAAAGUUUGUACAAGAUGAAACUUCUAGAUCUGG
rnacentral:lncRNA from 1 species